AGGAAGAACUAUGUUGCAUUAUCCUUUCUGCAGCUCCUAUGGCCAAAAUGCAACAACGCCCCAAAGUGGCCGAAGGGCCAAUAAAGUCAUGGUUUUCUCCUGCACUGCCUUGAGGAGUGUGUGCUGACUGUGAUGGGGUUGAAGUCCAUGGAGAAACCUCCGUGUGUGAAUCUGAUCACUGGGAAAGGCUGCAGGGCAGUUGGAAUUAUUGCUGUGGAAGACAAGGUUCUGUAAUCUCCGUUUUUCUCCUGGGGAGAGCACAGUGGGAGCUUUCAAGAAUUUGGAAUGUGUUGUUGCAAGGGAUUUUAGCAUCCAGUGCCAAAUGUGAGGUGCUGUCAUGGAGAUGAGGUAGGUCCUUGUACAAACACUUGCCUGAUGCUUGAAAUGCUUGACA
rnacentral:lncRNA from 12 species